GACGAACGCUGGCGGCGUGCUUAACACAUGCAAGUCGAACGAAGAGCGAUGGACGCUUGCUUCUAUCAAUCUUAGUGGCGAACGGGUGAGUAACGCGUAAUCAACCUGCCCUUCAGAGGGGGACAACAGUCGGAAACGACUGCUAAUACCGCAUACGAUCUAAUCUCGGCAUCGAGGAUAGAUGAAAGGUGGCCUCUACAUGUAAGCUAUCACUGAAGGAGGGGAUUGCGUCUGAUUAGCUAGUUGGAGGGGUAACGGCCCACCAAGGCGAUGAUCAGUAGCCGGUCUGAGAGGAUGAACGGCCACAUUGGGACUGAGACACGGCCCAGACUCCUACGGGAGGCAGCAGUGGGGAAUCUUCCGCAAUGGACGAAAGUCUGACGAAGCAACGCCGCGUGAGUGAUGACGGCCUUCGGGUUGUAAAGCUCUGUUAAUCGGGACGAAAGGCCUUCUUGCGAAUAGUGAGAAGGAUUGACGGUACCGGAAUAGAAAGCCACGGCUAACUACGUG
rnacentral:rRNA from 1 species